rnacentral:rRNA from 1 species
AACGGACGCUGGCGGCAUGCCUAACACAUGCAAGUCGAACGAGGCCUUCGGGUCUAGUGGCGCACGGGUGCGUAACGCGUGGGAACCUGCCCUUAGGUUCGGAAUAACUCCCCGAAAGGGGUGCUAAUACCGGAUAAUGUCUUCGGACCAAAGAUUUAUCGCCUUUGGAUGGGCCCGCGUUGGAUUAGCUAGUUGGUAGGGUAAAAGCCUACCAAGGCGACGAUCCAUAGCUGGUCUGAGAGGAUGAUCAGCCACACUGGGACUGAGACACGGCCCAGACUCCUACGGGAGGCAGCAGUGGGGAAUAUUGGACAAUGGGCGAAAGCCUGAUCCAGCAAUGUCGCGUGAGUGAUGAAGGCCUUAGGGUUGUAAAGCUCUUUUACCCGGGAUGAUAAUGACAGUACCGGGAGAAUAAGCUCCGGCUAACUCCGUG